rnacentral:rRNA from 1 species
GGCUCAGAACGAACGCUGGCGGCGCGUUUAAGCAUGCAAGUCGAGCGGCAAGGGCCUUCGGGCCCCUAGAGCGGCGGACGGGUGAGUAACACGUGGACAAUCUGCCCCCCGGCCCGGGAUAGCCCAGGGAAACCUGGAUUAAUACCGGAUGAGACGGGACCCGCGAUGGCGGGAUCCGGGAAAGGCGCUGCGGCGCCGCCGGGGGAUGAGUCUGCGUCCCAUUAGCUAGACGGCGGGGUAACGGCCCACCGUGGCGACGAUGGGUAGCCGGCCUGAGAGGGUGGACGGCCACAUUGGAACUGAGACACGGUCCAGACUCCUACGGGAGGCAGCAGCUAAGAAUCUUCCGCAAUGGGCGAAAGCCUGACGGAGCGACGCCGCGUGAACGAAGAAGGCCGUGAGGUUGUAAAGUUCUUUUCGGGAGGGGGAACAACCGUGGCAGGGAAUGGCCGCGGGAUGACGUGAAUCCCGGAAUAAGCCCCGGCUAACUACGUGCCAGCAGCUGC